rnacentral:rRNA from 1 species
CCUACGGGCGGCUGCAGUGGGGAAUAUUGGACAAUGGGGGCAACCCUGAUCCAGCCAUGCCGCGUGUGUGAAGAAGGCCCUCGGGUUGUAAAGCACUUUCAGUGAGGAAGAACGCCUGGUGGUUAAUACCCAUCAGGAAAGACAUCACUCACAGAAGAAGCACCGGCUAACUCCGUGCCAGCAGCCGCGGUAAUACGGAGGGUGCGAGCGUUAAUCGGAAUUACUGGGCGUAAAGCGCGCGUAGGUGGCUUGAUAAGCCGGUUGUGAAAGCCCCGGGCUCAACCUGGGAACGGCAUCCGGAACUGUCAAGCUAGAGUGCAGGAGAGGAAGGUAGAAUUCCCGGUGUAGCGGUGAAAUGCGUAGAGAUCGGGAGGAAUACCAGUGGCGAAGGCGGCCUUCUGGACUGACACUGACACUGAGGUGCGAAAGCGUGGGUAGCAAACAGGAUUAGAUACCCUAGUAGGC